rnacentral:rRNA from 1 species
GGAAUCAACGCUGGCGGCGUGCCUAACACAUGCAAGUCGCACGAGAAAGGGGAGCAAUCCAUGAGUAAAGUGGCGCACGGGUGAGUAACACGUGACUAACCUACCCUUGAGUGGGGGAUAACCUAGGGAAACCUGGGCUAAUACCGCAUAAUACCUUCGGGUCAAAGGAGCAAUUCGCUUAAGGGAGGGGGUCGCGGCCGAUUAGUUAGUUGGCGGGGUAAUGGCCCACCAAGGACUGUGAUCGGUAUCC